AAAAGAAAAAAAACACGUCCCACGCCCCAUAUUCCUCACCCGUUCGCUCCUGAUCCUCUAUCCCGAAAAUAAUUCGCCACCGCCUAUGCUCGCCGCCUUGCCCCCAAGCAUCACCUUGCCGGCCUAGAUCUCGACCCGCCGCCGGUCCCCACCAAGUAGAAGCACCCAGAGGCCAUCCGCCCCAACCGCCAACAUAUGCCGCAACCCGACGUCGCCCAACCGGAGUGCCGUCGCACCAGCUCGCCAUAGCACCAAGCGCAUCCCCUACCGCAGAUGUCGGGGCUAGCCGCCACCCCUGCCAAUCGCGUAUGGGCAGGUGCGGGCUAACGCCCCCUCCCGGACUCGACCUUCCCCGUGCCCUUGCUUCCAGUCCCCAAAUCCAGGAGAGAUAGCGGGGGCACGGCCCAAGAUCGACAGGUUACCAGCAGAAGCUGCCCACGCCAGGAAGAAACUGCAAGAAGUGCACUUGGUAAUUCACUCGAUUGUUAUCUCGCUCUCUUCCUCCAUUUGUCUCUGGGUAUUGGCCUCCUGAGUUUUUUUUUCUGUUUCUAGCUGCUGUUGCGUUGGACUAGCUGGUGUUGCGUUGGAAGGAAGACGAAUGUGAGCAGGAAGAUGAGGUAGACAUUCUACGUGAUGGUAGCGAAUCAGAAGCUCGCUGGUGAGAAUCCCUAGUUUCUUGGUUCUAAUCCCUCAUGUAGUCAUGUUCACGUGAUGGUAUUCCAGAUUUGGCCUUCUCUUCAUCUAUCGCGAACCACUAGCGUCAUUUAUUGCUUGACUUGUUGAUUCAUAAUUACACAGUGCACUUUGUUUUUCUAUGGUGAUUUAUUGCUUUGUUCUUAAUUUUGCAGUAUCCGGCAAGAACAGCUUCAACAUCUCACAUCAUCAAGUAGGUGUGACUAUCCUCUGUACGGAACUUGCCAAAAAGUCAUUAUAUGUACUCUUGUCAUAGUGCAAAACUAAAUGACAUGCAAGAACGACUGUUUGUUAGAAUAGUUACUAUUGUACUCCCUCCAUUUCUAAAUAUAAGUCGUUUUAGAGAUUCCGAUAUGGGCUACAUACGGUUGUAUAUGGGCAUAUGUUAGAGUGCAGAUUGACUCAUUUUGCUCCAUAUGUAGUCCAUAUCUCUAAAAGGUCAUAUAUUUAGGAACGGAGGUAGUAUUACGUUGCUACCUAUGAAAAAUUGAAAAUUGAAAGGAGGAGCUUUGAUGAUGAGAUAAAUUAACCAAACCAAAUAAAGAACUACACGUUAUACACUGAAAUGGUGAGUUGUGCAGCUUUUAAACACAUGCCAAUCAAAACUAUCAAACCCUACAACCUACUGGCCAAUCUCUAUUUUUAUCUAUUCCAUCAUUAGUUUUUGACCUGGUCGACCUCCAUUGUCACCUGCUGAUUUGUCACUCAGUAGGCUGAAUGCAGAGACCAAGAGGGCACAUAAUUGGAGCUACAGAAAGCUCUGGCAGCGUAUUUUUCCUAACAUUAACUAGGGACUGGAUGCAUAGAGGGUUGAAGCCUGUAGAUGAAGCAUGUGUGCUGCUUAGUCCAGCUGCACAUGGCGAAGGUGUUCCUUGAUUGGUAAGUAAGUUAACUUACCACCAACGAUGGUAGUGUUUACUAGGUUGUGUUAACCUAACACAGAAGAUGGAGCUUUUACUGUUUGUGAAAUAUUUGAAUGCCAAUUUGAAUGAAGACCAUUUACAAAGUUUA
rnacentral:lncRNA from 1 species